GCCGAGAUAGCUCAGUUGGCAGAGCAACGCACUCGUAACGCGUAGGUCGUGGGUUCAAUUCCCAUUCUCGGCU
rnacentral:tRNA from 1 species